AAGACUUAUACUUCACAGGAUCAUUUCUGUAGUAUGUCUUCCUUUCUCUCUACUCAACAGUAGAAUAGAAACAAACCGCGAUGAUGAGGUAUAUGUCCUCUUCCCUGAGCGUGAGGCCGCUGCCGCCGCCGCCGCUGUGUUCCGAGUCGUAUGACCUGGGACCGCGCGCGCGCAGCAUCGAUGAUCGUUCCCUUCGCCCUCGCGGCGACGGGGUGGGAAGUGGGCUGCCUGAGCGGU